UACACAAUUGAAGAGAUGAAAAUUUCAUUACAAGUACAUUUAGGAGAGAUGUUAUUUCAAAAUCUGCCUGGGAACAAUAAUACAUUUCUAGAAAUGUAUUUGUUAAAAAUUAGUGUGUUCUUUUACAAUGAAAAAGUUUAUCAAAUUAUAUCUUAAAUGUUAUAUAAAAAAUUAAAUUUUAUAUUUCAGUUCUUUGGAUUUGUUGGAACUGGUCUUUAUGGAGCUGAUGCAUUUUUGAAGUUUAAAGCUUGGCAAAGAGGUGACUCUGCACAAGGAACUAGUAUUAUUCCAUCAGCAACUUCUCCCACAUCACCAAUGAGUCCAUCUUAUGCAGCUUAUUGAAAAAUUUAGUCAGAAUCAAACCCUAAUGAGACGUCUCAUGACUGACAUCAGUUAUCGUCUGAUUCUUCAAAUGUAAUAGAUUUUAGAAACAGAAAUAGAAAACAAAAUACAUGUUCAUUAUUGUCACACUAUAUUUAUUUGCAUGCAUGGAUGUUAGAAUGCAUUUAUACUAUAAUUAAAGAAGGAUGAUAAUAUGUCUGUAUCUGUAUUAGGGAAUCUAUCAAUAGAUUAUUAGAAUUUAGAUCUGUGACUUUGGUGAAAUCUUAUUUUUAUUAAAUGUUAUAUUUAUGUGUUUUUUUAGUUUAUAUAUUAUUUAAUCUUUUAGGUUUACAAUAAUAAUAAUAAUAAUAAUAAUCAUGAUAAAGAAAUUUAAACUGUAUUUUACAAUAAAAAAAAGACUUGUUUGUUGUAUAUCAAGAUAAAUAUUACUGUAAAAUAUUAUUAAAGAAAGUGUAUAUAGUUGUAAAAUGUAACUAUCAUGUAUAUGAUGAUGUAUAAGAUAACAGUAGAAAAUAUAUUUCAUUAUUAUAUUUUAUAAAUUAUAUAUAUUUUACUAUUAUGAUAUAGUGAAAUUAUAUUUUAAAUUAAAAAUCAAAUAAAACAUGGUUAAGUCACUUUAUGUAUAUGAUGAUUAUGCUAUUAUUACUGAUAAUAAUACAUUUAAUUGAAUUGUUGCUGAUAAAGAAAUAAUCAUAAGUGUUACAACAAUUAUUUUUACCACUUUUUCAAAAAUGCAAAAAUUAUAAUUUUAUAUUACUUAUGAGUAUGAAAUAUAUGAAAUAGGUUUCAUGGAAAUGCUUUCCUUGUUUUAUGAAAUUAGAAAUAUUUCUCAUCUGAAAAAUUAUCUUACUAAAUCUUUCCAAUGAAAUAAAUGUGAUACUAUACAUUUUAAUAAUUAUAACUGUUAUUAACAGACUAUUAAUUUAAAAUAAACAUAUCAAAGUUGAAAAACUCCACCUAAAGUCGACAAUCACAACAACAACAAUACUAUCAUUAAUUACUGUAUAUCCAGUAUACAAAAUU